GAUGAACGCUGGCGGCGUGCUUAACACAUGCAAGUCGAACGGUGAACACGGAGCUUGCUCUGUGGGAUCAGUGGCGAACGGGUGAGUAACACGUGAGCAACCUGCCCCUGACUCUGGGAUAAGCGCUGGAAACGGCGUCUAAUACUGGAUAUGUGACGUGACCGCAUGGUCUGCGUUUGGUAAGAUUUUUCGGUUGGGGAUGGGCUCGCGGCCUAUCAGCUUGUUGUUGAGGUAAUGGCUCACCAAGGCGUCGACGGGUAGCCGGCCUUAGAGGGUGACCGGCCACACUGGGACUGAGACACGGCCCAGACUCCUACGGGAGGCAGCAGUGGGGAAUAUUGCACAAUGGGCGCAAGCCUGAUGCAGCAACGCCGCGUGAGGGAUGACGGCCUUCGGGUUGUAAACCUCUUUUAGCAGGGAAGAAGCGAAAGUGACGGUACCUGCAGAAAAAGCGCCGGCUAACUACGUG
rnacentral:rRNA from 1 species